GUCGCUCAUCUAAACACCAUUUUGUCCUUUUUCAAAUAUCACUUCUACAGGUUUCAUAUUCACGGUGUUUAAAGAGACGGUUUGGUUGUCCCUGAGGACGCGGAGGAACCCAGUUUGUCCUCCUCCUUUCUCUCCAUCUCAGCUGCGUAGAGCGCAUCGACCCAGAAACACUGUGGCACAAUAGAUCUGCCCUCGCUUCAGUGGAAACCGGCCAUCUGAGGUUAUUGGAGGGGGUGAGGGGAGUGUGGAUGAAUGUCAACGACAGCGCGACUCGGACGCAGUGAGACAACACAACCUGGCAGAGGUGUUCUUACCGUACAGUAUGGGAGGGAAGGAAACUUUCGGAAGACAUCAAUCAUCUAUCAACCGUCCCCUCGUAGCGAGGCUGCAUGUGCAUGCACUGCUGCACACUGUUGCUUAUGUCUUACUGUGACCUUCAGACCACUACCCAAUGACAUUAGAGCUAUUAAAGCGGCAUGCAGGAUUGACUGGGUACAAAGAGGUAACGCGAAAUGUCCACGAUGAUGGAUGUCACUCCACUUCAUGUCCACCACACAGUGAACCAAGACUGUGACCCAAUUAUUCGUCCAACAUUCAUCAUUUAGCCAUUUUAAACUUUACAGAAAUCCGGCAGAAUUACUGUUACUAAAGCACUUAACAUUAGGUCUCUUUGUCCAGUGGGGAAUGAGAUAUUUGUAGUGAGUAGAAUAUAUGGAGACAUGCUGGUUCAGAUUGACUGGGGUUACUGAUAUAUUAGUAGCUACUAAUUAUAACUGAUUGGAUUAUGAAUUAUGAAAUGAUUGGACAUUACUCCACCCGGCAAACAACAGCAUUUAAACGUUUAAAAUUAUGCCUUCAAGUUAAUACAUCAGAAAACAUCAUUGAAUGAUGUAGAAUAAUGUAGUUAAUAUAUAGCAAUGUAGGCAUUAUGAGCAACUUUUGAUUACCACAAUUUGCUAAAGAAAACCAAGUAAGGUUUUAAACGUGGGGUACUCUAACUUGUAAUAAUGUACUUUUACUUCAUUAAAAACAAGCACAGUACGUCAAAUUCAUUAAUUAAGAUAACUUAACAUAAACUAACUUAAAGUAGCUAGCUAGCUAACGUGUUAGCUGGGUGAUGUUAGCCACACGGCACGCGCGCAGACCAAGGGCGGAACCACCAUCCUUUAGGGGGGGGGGUCGUGUGUCCCCCAAUUUUGAGAAAAUGUCCCCCCCAAUAUACAGCAGAAAAUAUGCAAAUAUAUAUGUUUCCUUCCUUUUAUGAACCGUUUGUUAAGCGAAACUCACCGGGACUCUCUGAGUGGCCGCUCGCUCCGCUCAGCGGGGCCGCAGCGUCCGGCGGACCCCCCCAAUGUCCGAACCAUGGUUCCAUGGUUACACCCUUGGCAAAGACGACCUUUUAAGUAAUGUUAUGAAUACUUAACUGGGGACACGAGUAACUUGUAGUGUGAGUUUGUUGCUCAUUUUGAAGCCAACAUGACGUAUUACCGAUGUGUGCUGAGUUGGGGAGGGAACAGACGUCGGCACGUGAGCUGAACAGCGCGAGGGGUUUCUAUCUACCGGUAGACCGCGUCGCUAAAAAGGGUGCGUUGGAUAUCCGUUACGGAGUGCACCGAAGGUUCAGACGAAGGACGAGCAUCACCUGUACCUCAGCCUCGUCUCCCGCUCUCCCCUCUCCAUGACUACUAGGUUGCUCCCUACGAAUACGUGAGGUGCUGUUUCCAAGGUAACAACUCUAUGGAGAAUUGGCCACCUGAAAUCCAGACGGAGAGGAAAAGGAGGGCGACCAGCGGUCUGCAGGCUCUUCACUGCGCCUCCGUCCGUCCGGCUCUUUCCUGCGCUGUGGCCCUCAGAGACUAUCAGUCCUCAUUAGCACAAGACGUCUUCCUACCAGCACUACCUUACACCCGUGGGAGGGGGAGGCAGGGAGAGAGAGAGAGAGAGAGACCUUUCUUGAAAUGACGGCCAUUAGCGUUCCUGGUGUGGAGAUCAGUCUACUAUUCAAAGAUGUGCAUACAUGCGUAAAGGCAGAUGUGGUGGUGCACUAUUACAAUAAAUAAAAUAGCACUACAUGAAUUGCUUUUCUUGUUUUGGUUGCUUUAUUUUGAAAGUCUGCUACACCUCUCUUCAUUUAUCUUGAACCAUCAGUGUUUGCAGCCCUCCAGUGGUUACACUCAGGAAAUGCAAGUUAACAUCAGAUUUGUGCAUUUAGUUAAUGUAUCUAAUUGCUUUAGACAUUUUUGAUCUGCUAUUCUUACGUCUUGGGGAGCCAAGUGGCUU
ensembl:lncRNA